GUACAUUGCCAGGUGCUUGCUGCACAGGUAUCUAUGCAUCCCACGAGACAGGGACUCUCUGAAGGGCAGAACAGAACAGAAACUGUACCUGCCUCAUUUUUGUACCAGAUAGAAAGUCCAGCCCUUAGCAGGCUGCCCCUAAAUGUUUGCUAAGUUCAAUGGAAAGAUGUCAAAGGAUCCUCAGGAGGAAGAGGGGGUUAGGAAAGUAAAAGGAGGCAACGUCUUGAGGUCGGAAGAAAAGUUCCAUUUCCAAAGGUCAGUAGGGAGGUUCCGACUCUUAAUCCCCCUUCUGAGAAGGGAGGCCCCGACUAAGAGGCAGGGUGGCAGAGCCAGCAAGGGGAAAGUGUUAGGGACCAGUCCCAGAGCACAAGCAAGACAAUCAGGCUGAUGGAAAUACUGACAAUAAAAAAAUGAAGCAGCUUUGAAAUGUACAUUACUAUAAUUAAAGUGACUUGCUCUUUGGAAAUUCCUGAGAUGAGGAAACCUGAAGCCCAGGACUUGAAAUUAUCCAACAGAUCUGGUGGCUGCUCUGUCUUCAUAAGAAGACAUUUGCUUGCUCUUGUCUUACUGUGUUCAUGGCCCUACAAAGACUGUAAACAGGCAGAUCUAGCCACUGAGACUGAAGAAAACCCUUAGGCCAGACAUUGUCUGCUAACUGCCUGUUUCAUGGGGUGUCUUGGGACCAAGAGAAUCGUGAUUCCCAAACACUUAGAAGAUUUUGGAUGGAUCCAUUUCCAACUGAGAAAAAAAUAGGAAGAUGAUUUUUUUCAAAAACAGUGCAUGAUUUCAAAAAUAGGAAAGACCGAACACAGAACUAUAUAAAAUAGUAAACACAGAUACAAAUAAUGAAGUAUUAGGCAUUUUAAAGGUCAAAAAUAAUAGUUUAAAAAAUUAGGCAGCAGGGUGGUGGUAGCAGGAUACACAAAUGAAGAAACUUAUUUAAUAGUAAAGAGAUUGCUGAAUGGACUAAGAGUUAAAGGCAAAGCGGCUUUUGCCUCCAGCAGGGAAGGGAGACACUCAUUACAGCAUACUCCAAAGAGGACAAGGCCAGUACCCAACCUAAACCAAGAAAAGAAAUCCCUUUAUUUUCAUGUAGUUUAGGGUGCACAGGACAACCAGGAAACUAACGACCAGGAACAUAAAAACCAGGGGUUUCAAACAGCAUCAAGCAAGGGAUGGGACAAAGUUGUCAGACAUUUCUUUUUCUUUUUUUUUAAGACGGAGUUUCGCUCUUGUUACCCAGGCUGGAGUGCAAUGGCGCAAUCUUGGCUCACCGCAACCUCCGCCUCCUGGGUUCAGGCAAUUCUCCUGCCUCACCCUCCCAAGUAGCCGGGAUUACAGGCACACGCCACCAUGCCCAGCUAAUUUUUUGUAUUUUUAGUAGAGACGGGGUUUCACCAUGUUGACCAGGAUGGUCUCGAUGUUUUGACCUCGUGAUCCACCCGCCUCGGCCUCCCAAAGUGCUGGGAUUACAGGCUUGAGCCACCGCGCCCGGCCCCAGUUGUCAGACAUUUCUAUUGCCAUAGGUCCCUCCUUCAAAAUUCUACCCAAGCAUCUUAAAUUCUUUGGCCAUAAAAAUGCCAAACAUUUCAAUGAAGUUGAUCACAAGAUAGAAAUUUAUCCAGCAUGGCUUUAGGUGAUAUAAGGGUUAUAAAAUGAGUAAGUCAAGAAUUCUCUCCUAAAAAUGCAUCUACUUUAACCAUUUGACUAGACAGGUGCACCAAAAUUUAUAUUGCAAGGUAGAAAGUGAUGAGUGUGGUGGGAAGAAGGGUGAAUGAGAAGAUCACUUUUGACUAAAGGAUAGCAGGAACAACUCCAUGAAGAAAGGGGCAGUUUAGAAGGGUCAGAUAGAUUGUUAGGGCUUUAAAUAUGCAGGUAGGGGAAGGAUGGGUACAAACAUAAAGGAGGACAGGAAAUCGGCAGAAAACACCAAGUAGAACCAUUUAGUGAAGGAUGGCUCAGCGGGAGCAUGGGGAACAGGCUGGAAAAGUGAGCUGGAAGUUAGAGUUUGGAAUACUUUCAAUGUCCAAUUAAAGAAUUUGAAUUGACAGAA